AGUGAACGCUGGCGGUAGGCCUAACACAUGCAAGUCGAACGGCAGCACAGUAAGAGCUUGCUCUUACGGGUGGCGAGUGGCGGACGGGUGAGGAAUACAUCGGAAUCUACUUUUUCGUGGGGGAUAACGUAGGGAAACUUACGCUAAUACCGCAUACGACCUACGGGUGAAAGCAGGGGAUCUUCGGACCUUGCGCGAUUGAAUGAGCCGAUGUCGGAUUAGCUAGUUGGCGGGGUAAAGGCCCACCAAGGCGACGAUCCGUAGCAGGUCUGAGAGGAUGAUCAGCCACACUGGAACUGAGACACGGUCCAGACUCCUACGGGAGGCAGCAGUGGGGAAUAUUGGACAAUGGGCGCAAGCCUGAUCCAGCCAUACCGCGUGGGUGAAGAAGGCCUUCGGGUUGUAAAGCCCUUUUGUUGGGAAAGAAAAGCAGCAGGUUAAUACCCCGCUGUUCUGACGGUACCCAAAGAAUAUGCACCGGCUAACUUCGUG
rnacentral:rRNA from 1 species